CGCUACCCAGACAGGGGUCCAUACGGCGUUGCUCUGGAUUCCCAUCGUAACUUAAAGGGAAAUUUUCACAAUGUCCGGAGCCCUUGAUGUCCAGCAAAUGAAGGAGGAGGAUAUCCUCAAAUUCCUUGCAUCAGGAACCCACUUAGGUGGCACCAGCCUUGACUUCCAAAUGGAACAGUACAUCUACAAAGGAAAAGUGAGUGGCAUCUACAUCAUGAAUCUGAAGAGAACCUGGGAGAAGCUUCUGUUGGCAGCUCGUGCCAUUGUUGCCAUUGAAAACCCAGCUGAUGUCAGUGUCAUAUCCUCCAGGAAUACUGGCCAGCGAGCUGGGCUGAAUUUUGCUGCUGUCACUGGAGCCACUCCUAUAUCUGGCCGCUUCACUCCUGGAACCUUCACUAACCAGAUCCAGGCAGCCUUCUGGGAGCCAAGACUUCCGGUGGUUACUGAUCCCAGGGCUGACCACCUGCCUCUCACAGAGGCCUCUUACAUGAACCUGCCUGCCACUGGUCUGUGUAACAGAUUCUCCUCUGCACUGUGUGGACAUUGUCAUCCCGUGCAAUAAGGGAGCUCACUCAGUGGGUCUGAUGUGGUGGAUACUCACCCGGGGAAGUUCUGCACAUGCGUGACACCAUCUACUGUGAAUACCCAUGGGAGGUCAUGCCUGAUCUCUACUUCUACAGAGAUCCUUAAGAGAUUGAAAAGGAAUAGCAGGCAGCAGCUGAGAAGGCUGUGACCAAGGAGGAAUUUCAGGGUGAAUGGACCGCCCCACCUCCUGAGUUCAUUGCUACUCAAUCUGAGGUGGCAGACUGGUCCGAAGGUGUGCAAGUGCCCUCUGUGCCUAUUCAGCAGUCCCCCACUGAAGGCUGGUCUGCAGCUCCCACUGCUCAGGCCACUGAAUGGGCAGAACAACCACUGAGUGGUCUACAGCUGUUCUUCUACAGACUCUUAAAGUGGAAAUAGGUU